rnacentral:rRNA from 1 species
UACGUAGGGGGCUAGCGUUGUUCGGAAUUACUGGGCGUAAAGCGCACGUAGGCGGAUACUUAAGUUAGGGGUGAAAUCCCAGAGCUCAACUCUGGAACUGCCUUUAAUACUGGGUAUCUCGAGUCCGGAAGAGGUGAGUGGAAUUCCGAGUGUAGAGGUGAAAUUCGUAGAUAUUCGGAGGAACACCAGUGGCGAAGGCGGCUCACUGGUCCGGUACUGACGCUGAGGUGCGAAAGCGUGGGGAGCAAACAGG